UUAGACACUGCUGUUGAUUAUGUGAGUACAAUUUUUUAUUUUUUUUAAAGACUGCAAUUGUUUUGUAUCCAAUCAUACGGAUGUGGACAGCUCGUCCAGCCUGUGGUCACACUGUGUGCGACAUGAUCAACAAGUCAGCAGAAGAGUUCGCACAGAGCCCAUCAGCCUUGAUCAUCGGGGCAUCCCAGAGGUGAAGUUGGUUUUCCUUGCAAAGUGAAGGCAUGACCUGAGGCCUGUACUACGGAGCAGGAUUUGGAGUUAGCGAGGUUAACUUCAGAGUGUCGGAUCACAGCCUGUCAACACCCCGACCUCUGACCAAUCAGAUCACUGAAGAAAAAAGUAUCCAUGGAUAAAAGUCUGGAAUCUCAGAUAAAAAAAGUAACCUAGAGGUAAGUAGUAAUACUAGGUCAUUUUGUUGUUUCAGGGCUCUGUUUCCACUGGUUUUAAAACAGAGCUUCUAACAAACACAGGGAUUGUUUACACACUAAACACAUGACCUCUGCUGUAUUUCAACUUAUGCAAUGUUUAUUUCAGUCUGCAGUGACACGAUGCUAUUUUACACUCUGAUUCCAUCACUGCAGCUCAGAAUGACAUGAGACACAUGUGUGGUGAGAACUAGGAUAAGACGGAUAAUAUUUUAUCAGUAAAAUUAUCCAUACACUGAUAUUUGGCUCCCAUUAUUAUAUAAAUGCAAUAUUUUGGUCAGAUAGACCUCAUCAGUCAUUAACUAGCCUAC